rnacentral:rRNA from 1 species
ACUCAAAGGAAUAGACGGGGGCCCGCACAAGCGGCGGAGCAUGUGGAUUAAUUCGAUGCAACGCGAAGAACCUUACCUGGGUUUGACAUGCACAGGACGGCACUAGAGAUAGUGCUUCCCUUGUGGCCUGUGUGCAGGUGGUGCAUGGCUGUCGUCAGCUCGUGUCGUGAGAUGUUGGGUUAAGUCCCGCAACGAGCGCAACCCUUGUCUCAUGUUGCCAGCGCGUUAUGGCGGGGACUCGUGAGAGACUGCCGGGGUCAACUCGGAGGAAGGUGGGGAUGACGUCAAGUCAUCAUGCCCCUUAUGUCCAGGGCUUCACACAUGCUACAAUGGCCGGUACAAAGGGCGGCGAUGCCGUGAGGCUUAGCGAAUCCUUUAAAGCCGGUCUCAGUUCGGAUCGGGGUCUGCAACUCGACCCCGUGAAGUCGGAGUCGCUAGUAAUCGCAGAUCAGCAACGCUGCGGUGAAUACGUUCCCGGGCCUUGUACACACCGCCCGU